GGGGUUGUGGCUCAGUAGUAGAGCACUUGCCUAGCAUGUGUGAGGCCCUGGGUUCAAUCCUCAGCACCA
rfam:Ictidomys tridecemlineatus contig095768, whole genome shotgun sequence.